rnacentral:tRNA from 1 species
GCGGGCGUGGUGGAAUUGGCAGACACGCAUGGCUUAGGACCAUGUACCGAAAGGUUUGGGGGUUCAAAUCCCUCCGCCCGCACCA